AUUGUCUUAUAAAUGCAGGGGUGGGUGAUAGUAGGCUUACAGUUGUUUGUGUGGAAAAAUAAUUAAUAAAUAAUGCAAGAAUAAACUUUGUGUUUCACGUAUUCACAGCUGCAUAUUACCAAUUUCACUUAAAUAUAUUCUGUCUCCAUUACUCCCUACUCUCAUCAGAUUAUAAAUCCAGGUGGUCAGGCAUUUCUGUGUCUUUCAUUGAUUAACCACCAUCCUCUUCAUUGCCAGGAACUCAGCAAGUCCUUGCUGAAUAUUGGCCAUUGCAUCUAAGCAUGCAUUUAUAUAUGCACUUCUUAUCUACUUAUGGAUUAACUUUACUGUGUUUCAUUGCAGAUUUCUUUCCUAAGGACCCAGGCAGGAGUCCUAGAAGGCUGAGGCAGAGAGCAAUAUGAAUGAGGGUUGUCUUGCUGCAUUCAGAACUGCUGCCCCUCCCCCAUUUCCAACUCCCAAUGUCAUUCAAAGGAGCUCUUGAUUCCAUAUACCCUGUCCUCACCAUCCUCCAGAUAUUUCAGGAACACCCGAAUUCUGAGUCACAACUGAGCCCCCCUAGUGCAUUAAAAUGAACAGAAAUAAGAGAACCCUCAUGUAUGAUAGGAACAAACUUCUAUUGUAACAAGAUUUAGACAUAGCACAGCAAUUAAUUUUGACAUUUUCAUCCGACUUGUAAAAAGAGCAUAUAUUGGGAUAUUUGUGGAGGACAAACCCUCACUUUUCACUAAAUGUUAACAGUGCCUUUUAUAGUGAGAAAUCAGGACACUAGAUUAUUUCUGCCAUUUAAAGGAAAAACUUACUACGCAGGAAUGAAAGCUCUAGUAUGUUAAAUGUUAUAAUAAUACAUUUAAAAGAUUCGAACCAUAGAUGUUUUUCAUGAAUAUGGGCAGGUUGUGUCUUUUAAACAUAAUUCGUUUUAAACAUCCCUGCCAUGUUAGUGAAAAUGGCUCCCUACUUUGCUCUUCGAAUGGCACAUUGGUUCUCAAGAAAGGUUUUUGAAAGCUGGUGUUUGGUUCUUGACAGCUGUGCGCUCUCCCGGGCGGCCAGGGGAGACUCCACCUUUCUAAGUGUAAUACCUGGUCAUUGGACUCCACGUCAGGGAGGGAAGGUUAUCCUUUUUGUAGGAAGCCUGGAUUUUAAAGACAGAAGAGACCCAGGGCCUUCGUGAGCAGGCAGGCUUCAAGCUGUUCCCAGACGCUGUGCUUACUCCUGGAGGGCAGACUUGGUUUCCACGCCCAAGAAGUCUGAGGAAGCAGCAUCAUUAGUCCAGGACUUUACAGAAUGCAUUUCAACCAGCAGUAUUUGUGGUCUGGCCGAAGAAACUCAAGUGUACUUAAAAAACACAGCUGGGCAUUGUAUCCAAAGACGAAACCAGCAGGCUUGUCAUUUCACAAAAGGGACUUCCAGAGGUCGCAGUCCCUGUAAUCGGAGAGCAUUUCGUGUGGUGUGGGAGGCUGUGGACUAAAGCCUUAUUUCACAGCUAAUCAUCUCCAUGUGCGUAUGUAACUGGACCAGUGUUUCCAUGAAGACCGCACAUUUCCACAGCACAUGUGACUCACAUUUCUGGCUCACAUUCUAUUUCUGUUGGACCGUGCCGCUCUCAGUUCCAAAGGCUCGCAUCUCUUCACAGCCAGCAUCCUCUCCGAUGUGCAGUUGGGCUCAACACAUUCAAGCCUCAGCACAACCUUCUUGG